rnacentral:rRNA from 1 species
UACGUAGGUGGCGAGCGUUGUCCGGAUUUACUGGGCGUAAAGCGCGCGCAGGCGGUCCGGUAAGUCUCCGGUGAAAUCGCCCGGCUCAACUGGGCGGGUGCCGGGGAGACUGGCGGACUUGAGGAGCCUAGAGGCCGGUGGAACUCCCGGUGUAGUGGUGAAAUGCGUAGAGAUCGGGAAGAACACCAGUGGCGAAGGCGGCCGGCUGGGGGUGUCCUGACGCUGAGGCACGAAAGCUAGGGGAGCAAACAGG